CCUGAGCGCCCCGCCAUGGCCGGCACCCCCGGCCCGCUCCGCCUCGCACUCCUGCUGCUCGGGGCGGUGGGCAGGGCCGGCCCCCGCCCCCAGGGUGCCACUGUAUCCCUCUCGGAGACUGUGCAGAAAUGGCGAGAAUACCGACGCCAGUGCCAGCGCUUCCUGAAUGAGGCUCCAUCCCCAGCUACAGGCUUGUUCUGCAACCGGAGCUUUGAUGACUAUGCCUGCUGGCCAGAUGGGACACCGGGCUCCUUUGUGAACGUCAGCUGCCCCUGGUACCUGCCCUGGGCCAGCAGUGUGUUGCAGGGCCAUGUGUACCGGUUCUGCACAGCUGAGGGCCUGUGGCUGCACAAGGACAACUCCAGCUUGCCCUGGAGGGACCUGUCGGAGUGCGAGGAGUCCAAGCGAGGGGAGAAAAGCACCCCGGAGGAGCAGCUCCUGUCCCUUUACGUCAUCUACACCGUGGGCUACGCGCUCUCCUUUUCCGCUCUGGUCAUAGCUUCGGCCAUCCUUCUAGGAUUCAGACACCUGCACUGCACCCGGAACUACAUCCACCUGAACCUAUUUGCAUCCUUCAUCCUCCGAGCUCUGUCCAUCUUCAUCAAAGAUACAGCCCUCAAGUGGAUGUACAGCACGGCUGCCCAGCAGCACCAGUGGGAUGGGCUUCUCUCCUACCAGGACUCUGUGGGCUGCCGCCUGGUGUUCCUGCUCAUGCAGUACUGCGUGGCGGCCAAUUACUACUGGCUCCUGGUGGAGGGUGUGUACCUGUACACGCUGCUGGCCCUCUCAGUCUUCUCCGAGCAGCGCAUCUUCAGGCUGUAUCUGAGCAUAGGCUGGGGUGUUCCCCUGCUGUUUGUUAUCCCCUGGGGCAUCGUCAAGUACCUCUAUGAGGAUGAGGGUUGCUGGACCAGGAACUCAAACAUGAACUACUGGCUCAUUAUCCGGCUGCCCAUUCUCUUUGCCAUUGGAGUGAACUUCCUCAUCUUUGUCCGGGUCAUCUGCAUCGUGGUGGCCAAACUGAAGGCCAAUCUCAUGUGCAAGACAGACAUCAAGUGCAGACUUGCCAAGUCCACGUUGACGCUCAUCCCCCUGCUGGGGACGCACGAGGUCAUCUUUGCCUUCGUGAUAGACGAGCACGCCCGGGGGACGCUGCGCUUCAUCAAGCUGUUCACAGAGCUCUCCUUCACCUCCUUCCAGGGGCUGAUGGUGGCCAUCUUGUACUGCUUUGUCAACAAUGAGGUCCAGAUGGAGUUUCGGAAGAGCUGGGAGCGCUGGCGGCUGGAGCAUCUGCACAACCAGAGGGACAGCAGCAUGAAGCCCCUCAAGUGUCCCACCACCAGCCUGAGCAGCGGAGGCACCGUGGGCAGCAGUGUGUACACAGCCACCUGCCAGGCUUCCUGCAGCUAAGGCUCUGGCACCCGCUGUUCCUGUGGUGCUCGCUGUUGGCUGGGCAGCCCUUCCAGGGACACUUCAGGAAUGUCCACAACAUAGGUGUCUACUACCUGCCACUGCUGGGAAGCCAGAGGGCCAAGAAAUCCUUUGCCUCCACCCGCUCCAUGGAAAUGCUUUCUAUAUGUGAUCAGAUUCUGGAUCUUGAAAUGGAGUUUAGGUGCAUCGUCUAACUCUAAGGGACGUGACCAAGAAGAGGCUCUUCUGGGAAACUACCAGUGCCCACUGUUACCAUGGAGGCAGGCUCCACCUGCCCUAGGUUUCCUCCCUUUGAAAUUCCCCCCACUCGGGAGUUUAUAUGUACGUUACUCAUUUGUCUUUAUUGCUGUGAAUAGUCUGUAUGUGCAAAUGUGCAAUUCUGAUUUCUCCUACCUGAUGGGAACAAGAACUAAAUCGUCACGGUUGUUGAGAUGUUGUCUGGGAGAGUGGGGGAGUGAUGGAUUUGGCUCAUCUGCCACUGGAGCUAAUUAAUGUUUGCCCUGCCUCCAGUCUCAUCCCGUAAAUAAUGAACAGCAGAAAGGCUAGAAAAGAAAACCUAUCAAUCCCGCUCCCAGCAAUAGUGAGAAAGCAGGCACAUAGCAGCACUGCAAGCCACAGACAAGAAGGGGACAGCUGUCCUGGGGAGGCUGGCCACUGAGUUCAUGGAUGUGAAGGAAGUUUCCAGGACGGAGAGAACUCUUGAGACUCCAGACCUCCUAGGAAGGCAGAGGGAUCAGCUUUGGAUGAGUUCCUUUAUAAAUCCAUCUCUCCCUCCUUCUGCUUUGUAAAUGAUGGGGGACAUUCCCCCAAGCUUUGCACCAGAUACAUUCUCCUGUGCCCCUCAGAGAGGCAUGUGAUGUGCAGUGAAAAUAAUGGACAUAAAACACAUCAAGCAGAGAAUUUCCUAUAUUCUGUCUUCAGUGAAGUGUAUUGUCUAUGUUAAUAGGGAAGUUGAACCUCAGGCUAAAGAAGGAAUUGACUGAAACAAUAUAGAGAGGUUGGGAAGGGGCAUUUCUGCUCCGGAACAAGGGCAGACUUCCCAACAGGUAUCACUCAUUUGGCUUUCUCUUUGGGGUAGAGGGGAGAAGAUAAAUAGUGGUGGGUUGAUGUGGGGUAUAGCUAUUGUGCAAGUGUUUCCAUUUGGGGUAAACUGGAAAAUUCUAAGAAUUGUGCGUAUACUACACAGCAACGAAGAAAGAGGUGGAUUGAUAUAACCUCCAUGAAAUAAACUGGCAAAAGAAGGAAAUGUGGAGAGAAAGGGCUUAGACACCUAGGAAGCUCAGACAAUUUGGUUUAACCUGUAGAUAGAGCUGUCUUCCCAGCUGGGACUGGUGAUUCCUGAUUUCAGAAAGUUCAUCACUCACUCCCUCCUCCUAAGCCUUUUAAUACUCAGGAAGGUUUUCCUUCACCAAUACAUACUAGAUACUGAACUGAAGAAAUCUUUUCUUUGCUCCAAGACUCGGUACUAUUAAUAUGCAUUUGAAUGGCAGUGUACUUAUUUGAAGCUGUUCCCAAACUCUCCUAAGCUAAAUAUAGCUCCAACAGGUCUGGGAACUAUCCAAUGCAGUGUACUCUGAAAUUCCACUAGCUGUUUACAUGCCUAAUGCCUAAGUCUGCAGCUUGCUGAGAACACUCUUGCUCGCCUCUGACCUGGGGGUACUACUGCUGGUGCAGGGUGUAGGCGCUGUGUUUGAGCUGUGCAGUCAGCAAGAUCUGAUGACUUGUGAAUAGCGGCUGAGUUCAGCACUCUGGCCAGCUCCCCGGACUUGUUAAGGUCUUUGCCGUUUCAGUCGUUGGAGCUGCGAAAACAUAGAACUGAAACAAACACCUUACUUUGCAAAGUUGCCUUCCCUUUGAAACGACUUUCCAGAUUGCUGGCAUUAUCUGCGGUCGCCUCAGGGCACCUCACUCUGAAGGACGUAAGUCAAUGGAGUUCUCAGAGAAUCGGAGCAGGGAAGGGCUUUGGAGAUCCCUCCUGCUCUAUCUAGACAAGUAAGACCCACGGAGGUGACUUGCCCAAGGUUAUGCCACUAGAUGGUGGCUGACCUGGGCCAGGACCCCGGCCUGCUCCCAGCUUCCAGUUCAGCUAGGCCUCUGGCAAGGAUAGGUGAAAAGUACAUAUGGCCAUUCAAAUUGCUCCAAGUAAAAAUCCUGCAUGUUGUGUGGAAAUUUUCUUAAAAGAGGAAAAACAAUAAAGGUAUCAGAUGGUGAAGAUGCCAUGUCCUCCACGAUUGGUACUGGUGAGAGGAAGGGAAAGGUGUGCUUUGUUAUUUCUACUAUAGUACCCCAACCAUCCGUGUCUUAAAAUUAAGAAAUGAAAUGCCUCGGAGCACACAUAUGCAUAGAAACAGCAAUUGAGCCAUUUCAGAUAGCAAAUCCAGUGCUCUUUCAAAGGAUUGGCUUAAUUUUUUCCCUGUUGCAUUUGUGUUUGUCUGAGCAGGUGUGCUUUUAUCCACACAAAGUGGGCUAAAAGAAUCUGAAAGAAGGCCCUGAACCUCCCCUUUCCACUCUAGGACUUCCGGAAGUUGGAGAAGACUAGCAAAGUGGGCAACUGUAGCCUAGCAGAGGUGACACAGCCACCACGAAGGGCAAACAGGGAGAGUCAGUUCACAUCCAUGCCCUGAAAAGCACGGUCACCUUCAUCAGUGUCAGCCAUGUUUCAGCAGCUCACGGAUAGGAGACCUCCCUCCCUUGUCCCCUCCACCCCGCUCCUGCUGUCUUCCACAAGGAAAUAAUGCUUUUUCUUAUGAUUAUUUUCUGGUCCUGUGCAUAGCAGUAUAAAGUUAGGAGAUGAUGAAUCCGGAAUCAUGACACCCACUGUGAAGGUCACGGUACCGCACAGCCAAGGGCGAGGAUGUUUGGGAGCCUGGGUGGUAGAUGCUUCCUCUCCAUGCGCAGACAGAGCUCCCAUUAUUACUAAUGCCUGCGACGUGCUCAGGGAAGGCAAAAUAUAUUCCAGAGGUUUAUUUUUCCUCUGCUGAAUUGAUUCUAAUCUACUGUGCUGACCCCGCUUUUGGCUUCUAUGAGGCAAAUUCUAUAAAAAUCCACAAAUAAAAUAUGUCUGCUUACGCUACUAAGACAGCUAUGUGGAUAACAUGCUAAAUAUUCAACAGAAACCAAGUUAGGGUCAACUCUAUCUAACUCUUCUCCUUUUUGUAGCUGGAGUUAAGUUCUCUUGGGAAAGAAAAUGGCCCAAUGUGGGAAACUUCUGCAAACAACAUUACCGUACCCCUAACAGUGUUCCCAGCUCUCUGGUCCUUCUGGAGGGAGACAUCAGGAAGUGUUGUGAAGCAGUAUGAUUUCAAACACUUAAUGCCACAGUGUGUAGACAGUGUAAUUACUUCUGCUCUGUCAGUGGAUAAAGAUUGGCAGAAACCAGAUAAGUGUAAUUAUUUUCCAGUUAGCUCCCCAAGAUCUCUUGGACUCGAGACUUUCAGAGGGGAGAGUUGUCUCUCCUCCCCUCUGGCCAAUUUUAGCCACUGUUUUGCAGGACCUCAUCCAGCAGUGGCUGCAUUUUUCCUCUAACCCAUCACCCCUCCCUUCAUGAGCUUCCUCAUACUUCUCCCCGUCUCCGCAGUAAGAGUUGACCCUGCUAGACACGCUGUGAAUGCCAUUCUCUCAGCUGUGACCAAUUUGGGGUGCAGCUGUGAGGCGCUGCCAGGGUUGAAAACGAUGAGCUGCAUGCCACAUUCUGAUGCAGUGAGGAGUGUUGGAGCCAGCGGCUUGGAUCCUAACUUACAUCAGGGUUAUGCAACCUUCCCCACAGAGCCUGUCAAACUGUCAGUAAUUAGUCAGCCUGGACAAUCUACCAUAACUAAUUACCACUGUGUCAAAGCCAUCCAGGGGAAGGAAAAAUAUAUAAGUGAAAAUGGAUAUAGCUAGAAAAGAGCUUCCACCAAAGUCUGGAACAUAAUAACAAGUUAGGUUCUUUGGGGUGGCAGGGGAGCCAUUGGGGGCCACCAGGAAGGGGCAAAAUUCGCCCAAGACAGACAGGGCUGGAUCUUGCCAAACAGCUCACACUCCCAAAUCUGCAGUUCCUCUAAGCUUCUCCCACUACAAGCAAUCAUCAUAUCCUCAGAGCAGGUAAUCCUCAACAUCCCGUUGGCUUUAGAGGGGUUGGAAACAGAUCUUUAAAUGCACCAAGAGAGAGGUGAGCCAAAUUUCUCUCGUCAGUGCUCUUGGGGAAUGUUUGCUCUUCAUGAAUGUUUAAACAAGAUUAUUUUCAUGAUUCCUGAAGGUAUAAAUUCAUAUCAAAUACAAACUGCGACUACAGGUAGCAAAUGUGUAGAAUUCCUUGUACAGAUGUGAAUGGUUGUGGGCUCCUUCUUAAUUUACCUUGUAAGUCAAAUAAAAUACUGUCGCUACUGUGGGUCUCUGCCUCUUCCUUGGCUCUUCUCUUGGGGAGAGAAGGUUCUCUGCAAUGUCAACCUAGGUGAUUCACAGUGCAGUGGGAAAACAC